GCGCCCGUAGCUCAGUUGGAUAGAGCAACGGACUUCUAAUCCGUAGGCCAUAGGUUCAAAUCCUAUCGAGAGUACUA
rnacentral:tRNA from 1 species